rnacentral:rRNA from 1 species
CAGUAGCCACGGUAAUACGUAGGGUGCAAGCGUUAAUCGGAAUUACUGGGCGUAAAGCGUGCGCAGGCGGUUAUAUAAGACAGAUGUGAAAUCCCCGGGCUCAACCUGGGAACUGCAUUUGUGACUGUAUAGCUAGAGUACGGCAGAGGGGGAUGGAAUUCCGCGUGUAGCAGUGAAAUGCGUAGAUAUGCGGAGGAACACCGAUGGCGAAGGCAAUCCCCUGGGCCUGUACUGACGCUCAUGCACGAAAGCGUGGGGAGCAAACAGGAUUAGAUACCCGCGUAGUCCCUGUCUCUUAUAC